UUGGACUGCAAUCCCUAGGUCUACCUGAACAUCACAAUAUACUUCAUCAACUAUGCAGACCAUUUAUGGUAGUCUAGAGAAAUACAAGGAGCAAGUUAUACAUGCAGUUUCCCGGACCAAUGGCAGCUUCCAGCCUUCAACGGAUGCAGACAUUGAGAUGUAAUGGUUUGAAAGGAGGUGAGAGAAAGCAACAAUACAAGCAUAGUUGAAUACAGUUAAAAUCACAAUUCAAGAAAAGAAAAAGAAAAAAGACAUUGAAGCCUAAGCACAUGAUGGAAUAUCUUUGAAGAACUAUGAUUCAUCAUACGCUGUCAAGAGUACUAUUAGGCUCCAACA